AUUGAACGCUGGCGGCAUGCCUUACACAUGCAAGUCGAACGGCAGCACGGGUGCUUGCACCUGGUGGCGAGUGGCGAACGGGUGAGUAAUACAUCGGAACGUACCUUAUCGUGGGGGAUAACGCAGCGAAAGCUGUGCUAAUACCGCAUACGCCCUGAGGGGGAAAGCGGGGGAUCGCAAGACCUCGCGCGAUUAGAGCGGCCGAUGCCUGAUUAGCUUGUGUGGUGGGGUAAAAGCCCACCAAGGCGACGAUCAGUAGCUGGUCUGAGAGGACGAUCAGCCACUCGGGGACUGAGACACGGCCCCGACUCCUACGGGAGGCAGCAGUGGGGAAUUUUGGACAAUGGGGGCAACCCUGAUCCAGCAAUGCCGCGUGAGUGAAGAAGGCCUUCGGGUUGUAAAGCUCUUUUGUCAGGGAAGAAACACCGGCUCUAACACAGUCCGGGAAUGACGGUACCUGAAGAAUAAGCACCGGCUAACUACGUGCCAGCAGCCGCGGUAA
rnacentral:rRNA from 1 species